UUUAUGCCACAUUUUCCAGGGAGAAAGGCAACAUGUUCCUACCCUUUCGCUUCGAGAGCGAGCAGAGCUUCAGACCAACCAGCACUUAGGCAUAUGCUUAACUGAAAGCACACCAGUACUCCACCAAAGGAUGCACACAACCAAAAGCUAACAACAAGCAUUUGGCUUCAGCAGAUCCAGAAGGAUGAAUUUCUCACCUGGGAUUUCAGCCUCUGUGAC